AUCCAGCUGACGAGUCCCGAGUAGGACGAAACGUGCGUCCUGGAU
rnacentral:hammerhead_ribozyme from 1 species